GGGGUUGUGGCUCAGUGGUACAGUGCUUGCUUGCCAUGCAAGGGGCACUGGGUUCGAUCCUCAGCACCA
rfam:Ictidomys tridecemlineatus contig041819, whole genome shotgun sequence.